rnacentral:lncRNA from 10 species
AAUCUCCUGCUGCGGGUGGCAGACAUGGGAGAGACAGGCAAGCUGCAAAGGGAAGUCGACGAAAUAAAAUUAAAGCCCUACAAUCGUGUUCGUGUCAAUGUAGAUGGGGUGCCCCCCUCGGUUUGCUCACAGAGGUGGGUGUGAGAUCCUACAGGACGGUCUGGAAGACAUCCCAUGGAAGGCACUUUAUUUUGCCCAGAAGCUGGAGGAAAAGCAGAAGAGUGCUGAUUGGUGCAUUUACAAUCCUUUAGCUAGACAGAAAAGUUCUUCAAGUCCCCACUUGACCCAGAAAGUCCAGCUGGCUUCACCUCUUAAAACUACUCCACCUGAGGUUUUUAGAUCAAAAAGAAUUGUACUCAAGGAAUUGAAGCUAUGGAGCCUCUGCCACAUCUGGACCUGAUUUUGAUGACAAGAUCCUGUACCUCAAGCCCGAGACUAAUUUCAUAAUUUGAUGAAUCUUUUUGGAGAGUCAUGGGAGGAAUGUAAACAAUUUGUGGCCAAAGGAGAAUUAUGGUAGUUUGAAGAUGUGGAUACAAAUUAUUUGACAUUCUUCUCAUAGAAAGGUAACUCCAUAGCUGGGAGCCAAGUCUCGAAGCCCCAUGAGGGGAAGUGGAUACAUCUCAGAAUUGGGUUUCCUGAUACACACGACUGCAUCCUUCAUCUGCCAGGCCCUGGCAUUGUUUACUGGAGAAGAUGUCAUAGGAAAUUGGGCUAUGUCAUUGAGCCACUGGAGUCACA